AUCCGGAUGACUAGUCCAAAAUAGGAAGAAAUGCGCAUCCUGGAU
rnacentral:hammerhead_ribozyme from 1 species